rnacentral:rRNA from 1 species
AACUAAAGUUAUAGCCGGAAUUAAGUUCUUGGAACUCUUACAUAGUCGCCCACAGAAGCUAAGCAGGGCUGCGUCUGGUCAGUAUUCGAAUGGGUGACCACUUGGGAAAGCUAGGUUGCUAGUGGUUA